GUUUUGAAGCCCUGUGUGACUCACACUUGCCUGCCAGGGAGGAAGAUGAGGUUAUUCCAGGCAGAGGAGCAGCCUGGCCAACAAGACCCUGCAUAGCUGGCCACGGAAGUCAACUGAGGUUUCAGAUCUGCCUAAGCUCCCGCGUGGAGUGGGUACCCUGUAAGCUGCCACGUGGUAUGGACGCAUGAGGGGCACGGAGCAGGGGCAGUCAGUGAGUGUCCCUGAGUUUUCUAAGGCAAAGCAGCAGCGGCAGAUGAUGGGACCUCCAUGGGGAAGGCCACAAUGCCAAAGAAGGAGGGAGAGUCAUCCAAAUGCCUUCCUCUCAAUAUUGAAGUCCAACUUCUGAACACCCUACCAGGCGGCAAGGACCCAGGCUCCAAGAACCAGUUUUUCAAGUGGUUCCAUACUGCUUGGCAUCAUUUAGCCAAUAUGCUCACGGUCUACACUCCAUCUACCACUGGGAUCCCAUCACCGCCUGCCUACCCCACUUCCACUCCCACAGCUGACAACUUUCCCUGAACAAGAUUGAGAUUGCUGUGCUCUUGGACACUUGUGCCCAGCCUCCUCUUCCUUGACAACAUCCUCACCCUGUGGGUUCCUCCAGCCUCCAUUUUCUUACCCAGUGGGAAGACUAAGCACCACCUAUGCCUGUCUCUUUACUUCAUUACAUGGCUGGAGAUGGAGUUCCUUCUGUAAAUGGCAUCUGACCUAUCUCAAGAUAGAGGAGCCCAAAGGAGUGACCCAAGUGAGUGAAGUGAAUUAGUGACAACUUCAUGCAGAAAAGUUUGAGACACGUCAUGGAGACGAAUUAGGGAAGAGGUAGAGGAGGACCUCUAAAUAGAGGAAGUGAGGUAACACUGGCAGGGACUGGGCAACCACCAGCUCUCAGCAAGGGAGGGGACAGAGGUCAGCCUGUGGCAAGGAGCUCCCAGCCCCUCCCUCUCUAGGAAGAAGUGGUGGAAGCACCUUUCCUCCAGUUCUGCUCUGGACUCCCAGCAACAAACUGUCAUGAGUUGGAAACUUUGCACAGCCAAGGAUGAAAUGUCAGCCCUCAAACCUAUGUCAGAGCUGCUGUGAAAACUGGAAAUAAGCAACUUAUGAUGGGAAAUUCAUUUGCAUGUACUAUUUUACUUUUUAAACCAGAAUGAUAGUUUUAACUUUUAGGCUUAAGCCAUCCAAUAUCAUCUGUAUGAAUUAUUUCUUAAUUUUCACUGAAUGUUCAAAAGUAGAGUCAUGUUAAAUCAUAUACACACACAGAUGCAUAUACACACAUAUUCAUACCUGUAUGGGGGUGGGGAGUGUGUAUGUGUGUGUGUGCAUAAGCACAAGUUGCUGGGGGGAGAUUAAAUGAAUAAUGCCAUAUACUCACAACCUCAAAAAAUAUUGGGAGUAUUAGUGUUUUGUUUCUCAGUUAUUAAUUCCAGUUAAUGUAGUGAUUAGAAAAGGAAUCCAAACAUUUACUGGAAUUUAACUUCAGCCAAAUAUAAUGAGACAGGCUCAU
rnacentral:lncRNA from 1 species